AAGGAGAGAUUCACGUUUUCUCGCUGGGCUGACGUCCCGCUUCUUGUCGACGGUUUUACUCCUGUUCGGAUUCGUCCGGUGCAGCGAAGUAUAACUGCCAAAAGCGGGUUCGAAAGACCGCGGAAGACCGCACUUCUCUCCUAGUAAGACGUCGUGACUCGUCCGGCCGUGGUUUAAGGGUUUGGGCGGUAGUCUGUCUGAUCUUCUUUAUCGAAGCAUCGGGCAGGCCCCCUUUACCCCAACCACGGACGAUCCGGUCGGUAUCAAAAGACAGUGUCGAACCGUUCCCGCUGGAAGAGAAAUCUUUCGAAGAGAACGCAAAUGCCCUUGGCAAGGCCGGGAGUAGCUCCGUCAAGGCGGGUUUACCCGUCUGACGACUCUCCUGCCUGUUGGUCGAGUGUGCACUUUUGCCGGUUAAACAAUUUAUGGCACUAGUCAACGGCGAAUCAGUUUUGGGCUCUUGUCCGACCCGUCUUGAAACACGGACCAAGGAGUUUAGCGUGUGCGCGAGUCAUUGGGUAAAAAACCUAAAGGCGAAAUGAAAGUGAAGGAAACUGAUCUUUCCGAGGGAAGAUGGGUUGUUAGUCUCUUUAAAAGGGCUCGCCCCGCACUCCCGGGGCGUCUCUAUCUCAUUGCGAGAGGAGGCGCACCCAGAGCGUACACGCUGAUACCCGAAAGAUGGUGAACUAUGCCUGGCCAGGACGAAGCCAGGGGAAACCCUGGUGGAGGUCCGCAGCGAUUCUGACGUGCAAAUCGAUCGUCGGAGCUGGGUUUAGGGGCGAAAGACCAAUCGAACCAUCUAGUAGCUGGUUCCCUCUGAAGUUUCCCUCAGGAUAGCUUGCGCUCGGAAAGAGAAGAGUCUCAUCCGGUAGAGCGAAUGAUUAGAGGCCUUGGGGUCGAAACGACCUCAACCUAUUCUCAAACUCCAAAUAGAUGAGAACCCGGGCUUUCUUGAACAAAAAAUGUUUUUGAAGCCGGGGGCUCGGAUCAGAGUGCCAAGUGGGCCAAUUUUGGUAAGCAGAACUGGCGCUGUGGGAUGAACCAAACGCGGAGUUAAGGCGCCUCAAUCGACGCUCAUGUGAAACCAUGAAAGGCGUUGGUUGCUUAAGACAGUAGGACGGUGGCCCUGGAAGUCGGAAUCCGCUAAGGAGUGUGUAACAACUCACCUACCGAAGCAACUAGCCCUGAAAAUGGAUGGCGCUGUAGCGUCGUGCCUAUACUCCGCCGUCAACGGCAACGCAGGCGGUCCUUCAUUGGGCGGCGCUGUUAAGCUUUGACGAGUAAGAGGGCCGCGGCGAUGAGCGCAGAAGGGUCUGGGCGUAAGCCUGCCUGGAGCCGUCGUCGGUGCAGAUCUUGGUGGUAGUAGCAAAUACUCCAGCGAGGCCCUGGAGGACUGAUGUGGAGAAGGGUUUCUUGUGAACAGCUGUUGCACAAGAGUCAGUCGAUCCUAAGCCCUAGGAGAAAUCCGAAGCGAUGGGUUGCCAUUAAUCUUUACUUUACAAAAACAAAGAAAGAGGGCACCGUUUUGGGCGAAAGGGAAUCUGGUUCCUAUUCCAGAACCCGGCAGUGGAACCGUUUCAAAUCGGGCCCUCAUUGAGGACUCGUCAGGGCAACCUGAGAAGACCCGGAGACGCCGUCUGGAGGUUCGGAGAGAGUUGUCUCUUCUCUAUAAGCGUUCGAGUUCCCUGGAAACCUCUAGCAGGGAGAUAGGGGUUUGGAACGCGAAGAGCACUGCAGUUACGGCAGUGUCCGAAUCUUCCCCACGG
rnacentral:rRNA from 1 species